rnacentral:misc_RNA from 1 species
UACGAGUGCCUCAAGCGUUAUCCGGAGUUACUGGGCGUAAAGCGCGUGCAGGCGGAUCGGUAAGUUACUCAUGAAAGCUCCCGGCUAAACUGGGAGAGGUUGAGUGAUACCGCCAGUCUAGAGUGGAUGAGAGGUAAGUAGAAUUCCUUGUGUAGUGGUGAAAUGCGUAGAUAUAAGGAAGAAUACCAGUGGCGAAGGCGACUUACUGGCAUCCAACUGACGCUCAGACGCGAAAGCAUGGGUAGCGAACGGG